AUGUCUUCUUGCUGCACCUGUUGAUAGGAGAGACCCUUUAGAUACCAGGCAUAUAAAAAGAACAAAGUAAUGAGAUACUCACCUUCUAGUAUCUUGGACGCAACUUGAUUCUCAUCCAUUUGGCAUACGGAUGCUCAGAUUUGCUUGGGUUGAGAUAUUCCAUCUGCUGUGGGGGAGGUGUGGUAGUUUGUGGCACCUGGUCAACCUCUUCGUCACCAAGCCGUCUGAUAGCAUAGCCUCCAAAGUGUUCAGGGACCUCAUAGAUCCUGGUUGGAGCAAAGCGUUGAGCCAAAUUUCCCACCGUGUUACUUCCAUAGGCAGGCAGACUAUGAAGUUCCUGAGCUGGAUUCCUGAUUCCCCAUGGUGCUUGAGGGUUGCUACUGGUGGGCCUCUGGUCUGUGAAGGUGUAGCUGGGUUUGUAGCUCACCAUCAUGUUCGAAGUGGAAGAUGGCAUGUAGCCUAUUUGGGUGUUUCCAGUAUUCACAGGAAGCCAUGUCUCCCCAAAUCCAUGGACAGCGAAGUCUCUAGAGAUACCCAAAGGUUCAGACUUAUGUUGAGUGACCCGUUUUGCAGGAGCGCUUGCUGAUGUUUGCCCCCGUACAACAGCACUGGCGGGUUUCUGGAAAGAGACGCAGAGCUGCUGGAUCCAGCCUUGCUAGUUUGGAGUGUACCACGCUGAAAUGGCCAAGUCAUUUCCUUUCUGCUAUCAGGAAGGCUGUUCUGGUUUUCACCAAGUCUAUUCAGCGAGUUCCUACCUGCAACAGCAGAAAGUCUAAAAGGGGAGCGGUUUGGCACCUCUUGAGAAUUAACGCUCUUCACAUUUGUGUACCAGUUAGGUUUUGUCAUCAAGCUGCUCUGUACUAACCUUACCAAGUUUCGGGCUGGUUCUGAAGCAGUCUGUUCAUAGCUGCUAGCAGAAAGCCCUUCACUAUAGCCUCUGUUAACUGUAGUCCCUGUGCUGAGGCUACUGCUGUGAGCUACACGUGGAGAAAUGAAGGCCUGUCUGAUUUGAUCCUGGGAAUAGCUGCCAUCCAGUCUUCUUAGUCUACCAUCUUGCUGUGGAAAGCCAACAUAUCUGUUACCGUUGCGCAUCUGGGGGCUAUAUGCUGAGAAAUAAAUAGAGUGUAAGCCCACUGUGGUAAUAAAUCACAGCACUAAAAUAACUUUUACACAUACAAAUCCCCCACUUACUUUGUGUAGCCCAUGAACAGCACACAUGCUCUGCUUGAACUAAGAAAAUCAGCAAUAUCCUGCUCAAAAACAAAACAUCAAGGUCAGGAGAAAUGGAAGAACAACGAGGUGUAACAGAACAGCUGCAAAGCAGCACCUUACCCCAAACCAGCUCCACAAGCCCUUCCAGAGUUCCAAAGCAUGCUGCCUUACUCAAAGCAACAGUAACACAAACCCUCUGAAGCUGC
ensembl:lncRNA